rnacentral:rRNA from 1 species
UGGGUACUGAGACACGGACCCAGGCCCUAUGGGGCGCAGCAGGCGAGAAACCUUUGCAAUGUGCGAAAGCACGACAAGGUUAAUCCGAGUGUCUCCUGCUAAAGGAGUCUUUUGUCAGUUGUAGAAUCACUGGUGAAUAAGGGGUGGGCAAGUUCUGGUGUCAGCCGCCGCGGUAAAACCAGCACCUCGAGUGGUCAGGAGGUUUAUUGGGCCUAAAGCAUCCGUAGCCGGUUGCAUAAGUUUUCGGUUAAAUCUAUGCGCUUAACGUAUAGGCCGCCGAAAAUACUGUGCAGCUAGGGAGUGGGAGAGGUACACGGUACUCGAUAGGAAGGGGUAAAAUCCUUUGAUCUAUUGAAGACCACCUGUGGCGAAGGCGGUGUACCAGAACACGUUCGACGGUGAGGGAUGAAAGCUGGGGGAGCAAACCGGAUUAGAUACCCGGGUAGUCCCAGCUGUAAACGAUGCAGACUCGGUGAUGCAUUGGCUUGUGGCCAAUGCAGUGCCGCAGGGAAGCCGUUAAGUCUGCCGCCUGGGAAGUACGUACGCAAUGUAUGAAACUUAAAGGAAUUGGCGGGGGAGCACCACAAGGGUGAAGCCUGCGUUCAAUUGGAGUCAACGCCAGA